rnacentral:rRNA from 1 species
UGGGGAAUAUUGCGCAAUGGGGGGAACCCUGACGCAGCCAUGCCGCGUGAAUGAAGAAGGCCUUAGGGUUGUAAAGUUCUUUCGGUAUUGAGGAAGGUUGAUGUGUUAAUAGCACAUCAAAUUGACGUUAAAUACAGAAGAAGCACCGGCUAACUCCGUGCCAGCAGCCGCGGUAAUACGGAGGGUGCGAGCGUUAAUCGGAAUAACUGGGCGUAAAGGGCACGCAGGCGGUUAUUUAAGUGAGGUGUGAAAGCCCCGGGCUUAACCUGGGAAUUGCAUUUCAGACUGGGUAACUAGAGUACUUUAGGGAGGGGUAGAAUUCCACGUGUAGCGGUGAAAUGCGUAGAGAUGUGGAGGAAUACCGAAGGCGAAGGCAGCCCCUUGGGAAUGUACUGACGCUCAUGUGCGAAAGCGUGGGGAGCAAACAGGAUUAGAUACCCUGGUAGUCCACGCUGUAAACGCUGUCGAUUUGGGGGUUGGGGUUUAACUCUGGCGCCCGUAGCUAACGUGAUAAAUCNACCGCCUGGGGAGUACGGCCGCGAGGUUA